rnacentral:lncRNA from 1 species
AAUGACAGAGUCCUAAUCAAGGUUGCCGAGGCUGAAGAAAAAACCGCAGGAGGCUUACUGUUGACUGAGGCAGCAAAGGAGAAGCCUUCAAUUGGCACGAUUACAGCGGUUGGGCCUGGUCCUUUAGACGAGGAUGGGAACAGGAAACCUGUCAAUCUUAUCCUUCAUUCAUUCCUUGUAUGCAAGAUAUCUGAUGUUUCAUAGUCAGCUGGUUGCCUAUUUCUUCUUUAAUUUUCCUUUGAUUUACCUGAGUAUAAUCGACUGAACGAGCGUUACCUGGUGGUUGCAUUUGCUGUCAGGUUGCCGAGGCUGAAGAAAAAACCGCAGGAGGCUUACUGUUGACUGAGGCAGCAAAGGAGAAGCCUUCAAUUGGCGCGGUAAGAGACACUGAUUGACUAGUACUCUGGCAGUCAAGAAUCAACAUUGCCUCUAAUUGUAUCCCUAGUCUAUUCUCCCUAUAUUGGUUGAGAUGUUCUAAACCUUAUCCUAUCUUUGAGUAAGAGAUAGAAGAUUGACUAGUACUCUAGCAGUCAAGAAUUAGCAUUGCCUCUAAUUUGCAUCCCUAGUCUAUUCUCCCUAUAUAUUGGUUGAGAUGUUCUAAACCUUAUGCUAUGUGGUUGAAAUUACAGAUUAUAGCGGUUGGGCCUGGUCCUUUAGACGAGGAUGGGAACAGGAAACCACUUUCAGUAUCCCCUGGAAAUACAGUUCUCUACUCCAAAUAUGCAGGUAGUGAAUUCAAAGGUGCUGAUGGAUCCGAUUACAUUACACUCAGGGCAUCUGAUGUAAUGGCGGUGCUAUCUUAGUUGGAUAUCGAGUCAAUUAUUCUGUGCCAAAAAUUUCAGUAAGGUUUAGGAAGAGGAAGCUGCAUUCACAUUUCGGCAAACACUGCAAAUUAAUGAUUACUGUCAAGUGUAGAAUCAAUUUUCUGAACGCACUUCUUUUCUUUCCUUGAUUUGAGGAAUUUUCACCCUUUUGGGUAUUUUGUAUGUUUUGUACGUUAAAAGGUGAUUGAAAGCUGCAGAUUAUGAAGAUUUGGAACUGAAUUUUUCCUGAUUUGGUUUUCUUUAUAAGUUCUAGGAGCUAUACAUAGUUUCCCACAUCCGUCAAAGCUAUACACUUUCUGUUACAUUUAGUACAACAGGAAUUUUUCUUCCUGUAGUUUUUCCAAGCCUAAAUUACUAGGCUAUUUUACAUCAACCUGAUCUAGAAACAAAUAAUUCAACAUUAGAAAUCUGCUCUCCUAAACUCACUAACAGAUUUUCGGACCUUUGAAUAAGAAUUAAGAAACGGAUACUGAUAUCAGUAAAACUGAUUAAAACACUCCACAAAGUAAUAAUGAUACAAAUCUAACAUCAACUGUGCCACGAAGACAUGCACGGACUGCCAUAUCUCAAAAGGGUAUGUGUAUUCACGUCACGAAUAAAAAACUUGACAUGAGUUGCUCCUACCUGCUGCAUUCUGGUGAUCUGAAUUGCUAGCAGCUUCAAGGGAAUUGUGUUGAAAAUGCAUUGCAAAGUUAGUUCAUGAAAUGGGAACGCCUUCAUCGAUUAAAUGAUGCAGCUGAGUUGUCAUCAUAGUGUCCCCUCCAUGCAUUACCACUGUCAGUGCCACUGCUAGCUUGGUUUGCUACUGGCACAUUACCUAAAUCCCCAUCCAAACUCAUUUGCUGCACUUCAGCAGAAGACAAGAUUUUGACGCUCUGAACACAGCUCACGAAUUCCCUGAGAAAAAUGAGGAAAACAUUAAUAUCUUGGAAAAGAAAUACUACAAGAAUCAUAUAGUACAACUUUCGACAAGUUAACACUUACUCCCAAGGAUCGUCACCAACAAGCAGUAUAUCAUUCUCGUGGUCUACAUACACAAGCUUCCAUUCAGUUCUUUGAGGGUCUUCAAGCUGUCCUUCAAUCCCGAACAUACGUGCUAGAUCAUGUCUUAGUUCAUCGUAGCCUUUGUAACGAGUCACAUCUAUAGUUCUUCCCACAGAGCCACGUUUUUGAACCUUCAUGAUCGCAAAACAAUAUUAAAAACAUACAUAACGGGAAUGAGAUAAAGAGUGAUAAAAAGAGAGCAAAGCAUGUGUGUGACAGACCUUUGUAUACGUUCUCAUGCGCGGAGUCUGAUUCGUCCACGAAUUAUUAUUUAGAACACCAUUAUCAUUAACAGCAAGAUCAUUGGAACAUCUUGGCUGGUAUGACAUGUUUGGAACACCAAAUUGUUGAGAAUUGAUCCCAGCAGCAGACAACUCUGUUUCUAUAUCCCUAGGGGUAUUUCCAAAAGGAGAGAAUAAGUUUUGCAUAUCCUUUCCGGAAUCAUAAUCCCUUGACAGCAAAGCAUCGGGGGUCAAUCCAUCUAUAUUUGCUGCAGAAGGAAGAUUGUUCCUAGAAUGUGAUUGAAUAUCACCUUCCGCACAUAAUGCAGGCAAUGAAAAGUUGAAACCACUAGAAUCCAACCCAUAUGAUGUUGUCGAUGAGGCUGCCUCUAAGUUCUCAGUACCAUUGCCUUUGUAUUUAGACUGUUCCGAACCUUUUGAGAAGGGCAGCUCAUGUUUCAUUCGAAACUCGGAUUUGUUUUGCUCUUGAGAUGGAUCAACUAUCGACUCAUCCACUAGUAUCGCUUGCCCUUGGUUCCUGGUCAAGAAGUUUUGUGGUGAAACUUGGAAAUUAUUUGUAGAAGGAGAGGUUGAGCAUGAAGGAGCAUCACCAUCUGUAGCACCAGAAAGUGCUCUGAUUGUUAUCGGGGAUUUAUUCUGGCCUUGGAGUUGGUUGAAAGCAUGUUGGGGUGACUGUAGAUCUGUGGCUUUGGUCAUGAUGUUGGAGCUCAAUUGCUGAUGACCAAACUGGAGCUCUUGUGGUUGCCGGUUCUGUUGUUGCUGGGGCAUACGUGGCUCCAGAGUAGAGCUUACAUGAGAUAAUUGCUGUGCUUGUUGCUGCUGUUGCUGUGCUUGUUGCUGCUGUUGCUGUGCUUGCUGUUGCAGGUGCUGUUGCUGUUGCUGCUGCUGCAGUUUAUUAAGAAGCUGUAGUUGCAGCUGCUGCACAGUAAGGCUCUGCUGUGACGAUGUCUGUACUUGUGGCCUCUGCAUCAAACUUUGUUGCAACAAUUGUAGUGGAGCCUGCUGCGGUAUUAUCUGCUGCUGCUGCUGGGAUUUUUGCAAGAGGUUAGACUGCUGUUCUGCUUGUUGCUGAAAUGGGAAGUCUUGUGCCGAGGAUGUUGAAAGAAAUGGAUUUUUAUUGACAGGAACAUUUUGCUGUGAUUGGUUACUGGCUGAUAACAACUGUUGCUGCUGAAGCUGAGCAUAUAUCGAAGUUUGUGGAAAACUUUGGUUUGGUAUCUGGUUAGGGGAUACGCAAUUAUUUACUGGUGGUGUAUUCACGGUCAAUUGUUGCUGCUGGGGUCCACGUUGUUGCUGCUGCGCUUGCUGGUGAAGCUGUGGCUGCGGCUGUGGUUGUAGCUGCUGCUGCUGCAACAUGUGUUGCUGUGGCUGCUGCUGCAGUGAGUGUUGCAUUUGCUGUUGCUGUUGCUGCAGCGUGUGCUGCUGCUGUACACUCACGGGAGACUGUAACGAUUGCUGCUGUUGUUGGGGCCAUGCUAAUGGUGACUGCUGGAUUUGACCAAAUUGCUGAUUUAAUUGAUUUGGUUUGUUGAACUGGAGACCUGGUGUAGGUGACUGAAAGCUCAACAACUUAGAAUGGUCAUCCGUGCCAAUAUUACUGUGUAAGACAUUGGGAAGUCUGGAUUGGGCAACAGGAUUAUGAUUGUUCUGUUGCAUACUCAUCCAUUGUACCAAGCUUAGUCCAGGGAAUAUUGAACUUGGAGCAUCUUUUAGACCGAACUCAUCGCUGACCCAUGGCAUCCCCCUCUUUAAUGCAUUUUCAAUAUCAGAUUCAUCACCUGCAAAAGCACUACCCUUUUGAGGACUAUAUCGAGGAAGUUAUCCAAGGCAUCCCCCUCUUUAAUGCGUUUUCAAUAUCAGACUCAUCACCUGCAAAAGCACUACCCCUUUGAGGAUUAUAGUAAGAAAGUUACAGUAAACUAAUUUCCUUCUUGUGCAGGUUGAGAUGAGGGAGAUGGACUACCGUGAACCUUCUUCAAAUAGGCUCUUUGUUUUAGUUCUUUUUAACCGUUGAAACAUUAUUAUAAAAGAAAGCUAAAUGUCAAGUAACUUACCAGGGAAACUUGGCUGUUUAGGGAACUUGGGCCUGAAAAAUGGAGGUGGACAGAUAUAAAAAGGAGUUACGACAGGCUCAAUAUCCCAAAUUGAAACUCUGCUUGGACGUUCCCCGGCAGUUGAUUCAUCCCAUCCCACCUAACAAAUUAAAUAAAGAAAUAAGGAUUGGAUACAUGAAAAUGAAGUUGAUCACAUACCAUCAAGAAAUCCUUCGGAACUAUAAGUAAAGUUCAAUGAAAGAGCUAACAGGAUAUCUAAUGACCAAGGAAACAUCUGUAAAUGGUUAAAAUGAUUUUUUAACAAGAAAACCAUACACACACACACAAGAAAAAGGAAAACACAAUGCUUCUAAAGACAUUACCACCAUAAAGUCAUGAACCAAAGUGCAAGUAAGCACUCCUAAUCAGAAGGAGCAACCGAUAAUGAAUGACAUUGCGUAAUAUAUGUAGUUGUAUUUGGUAUGACAGAAAUAUACUUUCAUGAAGUGGGAAGAGCUCUACUAUGACCACUAAGUUCUAUAUAUCAAGAUUAUAGGCAAAUUCUUGGGGACAAAGCCUAGAUGACUGAGUACCUGAAGAUUACGCCACUGAGAGCUCUUCCAUCGUAUGGGGUCCAGAUCACUAACACCAGUUAUUGUACCCAUAUACCUACGGACUCCAGACUCCUCCGUCUCAAACAUCAUCCGAAAUCGCAUGCCUAGUGAAACUUGUGCAUACAUAGCUUUAUUAUAUUUGGCCAGAGGAAUCACAAAUUCAGAAGGGCUAGCCCUGUAAAGAACAAAUGGAGCAAGAUAAACAAUUUGUGUAUUAUUCAACAUUUAAGUCCAAACACGUAAUAUUUUCUAUUUCAGAAGGGUUGAAAUGGUACCUCGGAUUGUAAAAGAUACUAAACGGGCUGUUGUUUGCAGCAGCAUGAGCUGCAGCAGCAAGGAUCCCAAUGUGCAUGCUGUCACUAGAUAUAACAGAUGAGGAGAGAGCAGGCUGCUGUCUAUUCGCUCGUUUUAUACCCAAGAGAAGCUGUGACUUUUCAUCUCUACAUCAAAAUUUCCCAGUUUAGCAACAAUACGACUAUCAUAUAUAAAAAUUACCAACUAAUUUUCACCAUUACCUUAUGAAAAGGACAGAAUCACCGGCACAUAGCCUUUUAGAGGAGAUAAAGACACUCCAACCAGUUGUCAAAAGGUGUCUUUUUGGUUGACCUGAAAUCAUGCAAAUUAAUUUCAGUGAGCACUUAUUGGAAACACAUUUUUCUCAAGUUAAGUUGGAUUUAAAGACAAAUAUCGCUAAUCUAUAAAGAAAAAGGAUAAUUAUUCGAAACACUUAAUAUGGCACUCCAAAACGUAAACUGUAUCCUUUGAGGAAAACCUUAAAUGUCAACUACUAGUAUAGCAACUUAAAGUGUUAUAACCCAUUAGUAGUUCUACAUAGAAUAUUCAAAUUCAGCUUCCAACAUAAGAGAGUAAAAGAACUUAAAAAGUACCUCGAUAUAUAUGCCUAAAAGUCCAAGCUUGGUCAUGCAAAUCUCUAGCCAUUAACUCCUGAGCAGGGGGUUGCAUUGAAAAAUCCUACAAAAGAAACUUCCCGUCAGAUGCAUAAAAGCGGAUCUCUUUUUCUUGAAGAUACUUGGUGAAGAUAAACAAACCAGUGGGGGAAAUAUCUUCUCAGCCGCUCGACGAGGAACAGAAAAUCCACCAUGUGUACUUGUAUCACUAGCUGUGAGAGUUUUACAGAAGAACUCAGCAGGUUGCCUGUUCUGCUUAAGGCCCAUAUCCGAUAAAAUUAAAGCCUCCUGGUCAUACUGCAGGAACAAAAAGUAAAAUUUCGUAUCAUACAACUUCCUGCUGAGGAGGUAAAAAAUACGUUCAUCAAAAGAUGACAGCUGAAAUUGCAAACAGCAUAAAGGACUCACUUUGUUUACAGGUUGAAGAGUCAUCUGAGCAUAAACCUCAUCAGUUUCAGGGUCAGCCUAACAAAAACGUCACAAGUAUACCACGUUAGAAUAAGGGAAACUCCACUACUCUUUGAUUUUCCUUAAUAGAACUAUGUUUUUCUACUUAAUUCACAUGCAACAUCAAUUUGAGAUUGUGGAUCCAAACAAACACUGAUGAAACUCACGAAAGGAUGGUAUGGAAAGGCAUUCAUAUUAAAUCAUUAAUUGUAAGAAACAUAUGUGGAAAUGGAAAGACAAUUCCCAGCCAACGCGUGGAUAGAGGAAGAUGUCGUACAUGUAAAGUGACAUUGUGUAACAUGCAGAUCAACUUGGAAGGAAGAUUAGGAUAACUUGGUAUUCCAUCUGUCUCCUUUUGCAUUGAUGCUGCCACCUGUAAGGUUUUGAUAUCGAAGUAAGGUUUCAUCAUCGGACAAUAUCUACGGAAAUAAUACUCCGAUUCAACUUUCAAAAGAAACAUACUUGCUCACUGUGACCUUGAGGAAAAUAUGCCACAAGGCUUCCAAUGGGAGGCAAAGAAACCAAUGGGCCAGCACAAGCGUGCCAUAACUCUGAAUUCAUGACCUUACUAUCUCCUGUUGCAUUAUGAUAAAAAAUUUCAGGUAUGCAUAUUUACUAAAUUCACGUUAAACUUUAUACAAAGAUACAUAUGAAGCUUCGAUAUGCUAGAAACUAAGCUCCUUUAUGCAUGAAAUUAUGCAGUCAUUCAUGCAACCAAAAAGAGGAAAUGUUCUUCUGUUUCUCCUUCUGUUACCCCAACUGAAGGAUUAUUAUAGUAAAAUAAUUAUGAAGAUUAGGAGUUCCACAAGCCAAAUAAUUAUAAAAAUUCAGUAAUACCAGGAAACGAAGGGAAACAUCGUGUGACCCUCUAAUGUUUGUAUACCAAAUGGCAAUCAAAACUAACCAACACUGGUGAGUUUAGGCAUGUCAAUGACAUGCAAGGAUCGAUGAUUAAAAAGAAGCGGUAGUUUCUUGAUCUGGUAAUCCAUGAAUAGAACAACUUUUUCAAUUUCCUUUCUCAAAGAAAAACCAUGUGACAAUAUGAACUUAUGGCAAGUGUAUCCAAUUAAAGCAUCAUGAACACAGAAUAUCAAACAAACUUUGCAGUAUUAUUUUAAUUCCUAUCCUCAGUGAUACCCAUGUUUUCAACUCUGUUCUUUCCCUUCCUUAUACUGGCUUGUAAGAAAUAGCAGAGCCUACUCAAAUCUUAAUUGACAGAGAAUGGUGCACAAAAAUCAAAAUGUAUUCUUUCUCCUCCAAAAUUCCAGGAGUAGUUUAGGCAUUACUAAAUUGAGAUAACCAAUUAACUUGCUCAUGUGAAUGGCCAUGUUAGGACUUAUCAAACUAACAGAUCAAAGCUCAACUAAAGGGUAGCCCGGUGUAUAAGGCAUCCUGCGUUCACGCAGGGUACGAGGACGGACCACAUCCUAGAGGUGUUUAACAUAGACACCUUAUCCUAAUGCAAACAUUAGUAGCUGCUUCCGCGGUUCGAACCCGUGACCUAUAGAUCACAUAGACAAUUUUACUGUUGCACCAAGGCUAACCUUCAAAUCAAAGCUCAACUAUGACAGAAAAUUUCACUUAUUAAGACUGUUUGAAAAAAAUAAAUAAUAAAGCAGAAGAUAGUAAUUAGGCUAUAGUAAACACCUUCUCCUGAAUUUGCAAUAUAUCCGUUUGAUGGUGCCUUCAUUUCAGCAAAAUUUCCACUUGAAUUUCUUCACAAUCUUGUUAUCUUUUCUACUACUCUCUUCCUCUCAGAAAAAAAAAAACCUCUAACACAAAAAUCCAGCUGCAAAGAGCUUAUAAUUCCUCCACCAUUAUGCUAGCUCCAUAAUUGCAACACAAUAUUUUAUAAUAUCCAAAACCAGCAGAAUUCCCUGAAAUGCAAAUAUUCUUCAUUUUCCAUUGUCAUGAAAACGUCAGCAUUUUCCGGUUGCCGGAAUCAAACUACACCCCACAAAAAAACUGCCUCUUUUCAACUUAACUGUACCCAAAAUAGAUAGAUAAUUAUAUCUCUGAAUUCAGUGAUUACUGAUUACCACUUCAGCCGGUAGAGGAAGUAACUAAAACUAGAACCACCAAGCAAGACUCGCCGGAAAAUCAAGAAUGCAAAAAAAUAUUUCCAAAAAUGGGAAGGAAGAGAGUAUAAAGUAGAGACAAUAGGUGGGAUCAAUAAGUUAUAUGCUACCCCAAGAAUCAGAGAACUCGCCGGAAAAUCAGACGCCAAUAAUAACGGAGCUGCUUUAUAUGUACUACAAUAACAUCUUUAAACUAUUCUAUAUGCAAGAUUAUAAUAUAAUUAAGUAUUGUUAAUGGAAAAAAACGAAAUAAAGUUAUAGCGUAAUGCGUCUGUUAUAUGAUACGUAUGUUAGUGUCAAAAAUAGAGUUUACGUUGAAAGGAUUAGUAGUAGAGAACAACCCGACAUAGAUGAAUUGGACAAAGGUUAAAUAAUGAGUUAAAUUACAAGCCAUGUUUUGCUCUUACAUGACAUUAUUUUCAUUAUAUUCUGAAUUAGUACACUACAUCCUCUUAGAUUCCUAUAUAAUCUCUCUUUCUUGUAAACAAAAUAUAAAUAAAAUUAUUUGAACAUGUUAAGUCAUAAGUGCACUUAAAUUUUU